AAUAUUGGACAAUGGGCGAAAGCCUGAUCCAGCCAUGCCGCGUGUGUGGAGAGGGUCUGCAUGGUGUAAAGCACUUUAAGGGGGGGGGAAGGGGAGAGAGAUAAUCUUUCUCUGUUUUGGCGUUAGAGACAGUAUUAGCACCGUCUAAUCUCGCGCGCGCAGCCGCGGUAAUACGAAGGGUACAAGCGUUAAGCGGAAUUACUGGGCGUAACGCGCGCGUAGGUGGUUUGUUAAGUUGGAAGUGAAAGCCCCGGGCUCAACCUGGGAACUGCUUUCAAAACUGGCAAGCUAGAGUAUGGCAGAGGGUGGUGGAAUUUCCUGUGUAGCGGUGAAAUGCGUAGAUAUAGGAAGGAACACCAGUGGCGAAGGCGACCACCUGGGCUAAUACUGACACUGAGGUGCGAAAGCGUGGGGAGCAAACA
rnacentral:rRNA from 1 species